GGAAGGAUCAUUAACACGUUUCCAAACGUUUUCGAUCAUUCUUAUUUUCCGUGCACAAACAAAACCGGCCUCCUGACUUUUCCUCUCAGUUUAUUCUGUCUGUGAUCGUGCCAGGCGUCUUUAGGGUUCAUAGGAGUCUUUGUUCUGGAAAAUUGGGAGACUUUGCUGUCUUCCUUUCUAGUACGAACAUAUGACACCUCCUUUAGGCGUUGCCAAACAACCCAAACCUUAAAUCUAAUUGCUCUGAACUCUAGUUGUGGUGAUGAUGUCUUCGGAUGUUAUCACCCAACGACCAAAAACAAACAACAACUCUUAACAACGGAUAUCUUGGUUCUCGCAACGAUGAAGAACGCAGCGAAAUGCGAUACGUAAUGCGAAUUGCAGAAUUCCGUGAAUCAUCAAGUUUUUGAACGCAAAUUGCGCUCUCAUUUACCUGAGAGCACGCCUCUUUGAGUGUCGGUUUAAUUUCCUUCUGGCAGCGUGCUGUCUUUGUAAGGGCAUUUUUGAGCAUUUCUUUUCUUUCUUUUCAUUUAGAGAGCAAAGUUGCUUUAAGCACUUGGGAGAUUCUGUCUCCUUCCAGUUUGCACCGCUGAACAUGCGCUAAAAAGUGCUUGUUUGAGGUGGCGUGGAUAAUUUCACUUCUUCAAUGAAGUGGUCCAAUACGUCAUCAUCAUCUAGCAAUAGGAGAUGAUUCUGCGAAAUAGUCGACUCUUUACUGAUGUUGACAAAUUUCAAUGAGCUUCUACUUGCACUUUGUAUGUUUUUAGCACCGCUUACAAACCACCAAACAGACCUCAAAUGAAGCGAGAGGACCCGGUGAAUUUAAGCAUAUUAUUAACCGGAGGAAAAGAAACUAACAAGGAUUCCCCUAGUAACGGCGAGUGAAGCGGGAAGAGCUCAACUUGAAAAUCGGUAGGGCAUGCGCCUGUCCGAAUUGUAGUCUAGAGACGCUACCGCGAGUUCGGGAUUCGGGUCAAAUUUCCUUGGAAAAGGAAGCCAAAGAGGGUGAGAGCCCCGUCUGUGACUCGUUAUCCUGUACGUGUCGGUUCGUUCUUCGAGUCGAGUUGCCUGGGAUCGCAGCUCUAAAUGGGUGGUAAAUUUCAUCUAAAGCUAAAUAUGGGCGAGAGACCGAUAGCGAACAAGUACCGUGAGGGAAAGAUGAAAAGAACUUUGAAAAGAGAGUUAAAAGUACUUGAAAUUGUUAAGAGGGAAGCACUGGAAGCCAUUCGGGAAGUGUCUCUAUAGACUUAUGUCUUGUUCGAGGCGCUUUUGGGGUCAGCAUCAAUUUCUGGCGCGGGAGAAGGCUUUACGGCUCUACCAGCUGUCGGGGAUUGAGGACUACAGCGUUCAUUCGGUUUUGGUGCUUUGCAGUUGUGUGCCUUUUGUCGUAGAACAAAGUUCUGCGGUUUUUGGUUGCGUUUCUUUCAUUGUACUUUACCUGUUCGCUCGUGAUGCUGACGAUACGGUUUUCAUUGACCCGUCUUGAAACACGGACCAAGGAGUCUAACAUAUAUGCGAGUAUUUGGGUGGUUAAAACCCUGGUGCGCAAUGAAAGUAAUUUCUGGUAGGAACCUCGUUUAAUCGCGUGGUGCACUAUCGACCGAUCACGUAAGUGAUCUUGAGUAAGAGCAUAUCUGUUGGGACCCGAAAGAUGGUGAUCUAUGCCUGAACAGGGUGAAGCCAGGGGAAACUCUGGUGGAGGCUCGUAGCGAUACUGACGUGCAAAUCGUUCGUCUGAUUUGGGUAUAGGGGCGAAAGACUAAUCGAACCAUCUAGUAGCUGGUUCCCUC
rnacentral:misc_RNA from 1 species